UACAGAGGUCCCAAGCGUUGUUCGGAUUCACUGGGCGUAAAGGGCGCGCAGGUGGCUCUGUAUGUCUGCCGUGAAAGCAUACAGCUCAACUGUAUUGUGUCGGUAGAAACUGCAGGACUUGAGGCUGGGAGGGGCUGGUGGAAUUCCCUGUGUAGCGGUGAAAUGCGUAGAGAUGGGGGAGAACACUCGUGGCGAAGGCGGCCAGCUAGACCAGUUCUGACACUGAGGCGCGACAGCGUGGGGAGCAAACAGG
rnacentral:rRNA from 1 species